GCUUUCCACCUUGAGCCCUGACAUCUCAGGAUGGGCUCCCUGGGUAGUUCUGUUGGCAGCUUUAGCUUGUGAGCUCACCAAGCUUUGUGAGGAUUUGUCAUGGCUUCAAGGGGUUGGCUCAGUACAUGAGCAGAGUCUGGAGUUUGGGGCCUGUGCCUGCCGGUGCCGUUUGAUGCUGAAAGAGAUACCACAUCUGCAAUGUGAGUCCCUCCUCUUCUCUGCCAAGGCAUGUCCUCACUAGGGCUGUUCCCCCUGAUGCAGAAAAGACACACCGCAUACCUCAAGAUGCCUUUAUGGGCCAUUGGCCCCUGGCCUGUCUUCUCUGGGAAUAUUGUGUCUGGAUGGGUAUCAUUGACCUAGCCCUGGUUUGUGAGUGCUAGAAAGCAGGAAGGGAAGAUGAGGAGAAGGAGAAUGGAGAACACACACCUAAGAGUUUUUCCUUCAAAUUGGAAUAAGCUCCAGGGGCCCACCUACUGCUAUCGUUAUGAUGUCACAGAAAGGAACAGCCAGAGCAGGGGGAAGAAAUUCAUGAAGUCAUCUGGCCCAAAGCCCUCUUCGAUCUUCCAUGCCACCAGGAUGGCAGAGGUUGGUGCAUGUUUCUGGCAACUGAGCUCUUGAAUACCCAAGACCACACAGCAGCAACGCUAGGGGACGAACUCACUGAGCUGGUGCCCAGCUGCUCAUCUGGGAAGUUCUACUGCGUUCUCACUUGUAAUCAGCAAACCCAGACUCCUCACCUUAGAGACUAUCAGACCAAGCUUCUCUUGGGAUCCUUGAAGAUGGCUGGACGUUGCAAGCGACGCUAUACGGAGAAAUCGCAUCCCAGAGUGACAACGGAGGUUUCCCUGGGAUGUGUUUUGUGCUGUUUGAGCAGGAGUGAAAGCAUGUGACUUUUUAAAGGGAAACCUCAGGAAGGGAGAGUGGAAGUGGAGACGUUGCCAUAAUGCUCAGAAGGCACGCUCAGCGGAUUUGGAGAGUCUUCCUGAAGCCUCUGCUGGGAGGGGAGAGGGAGAAGCCACCGUGGGCUUGUGUGACUUUGGACACCGUGUUCGAAGGGAAGCCGUGUGACCCUUUCCCACUCACUCCAGCCCAGCCUCAUGGCAUCCAGCAGCCACCACUCGCCUCCUGAUUGCCAUACCUUUCUGCAGCCUGGAGAUUUGCAUUGUAAAUGCUGUUUGUUAGGCCCCUGAAAUAAUAUUAAUCACCGUAAAACAAUUACGUUGCAUAAUUUGUACAUAAAAAAGAAAGAGUGAACCUUUUGCUUGAA